GUUGGUUCUCAUGAAGACAGGAGACUCAUAUGACUAUGUCCUUACACCACCCGACUGCUCUAUAUUGUAAUUUGUGACAUUGAUUCGUUAGAAGACUGAAGACUUAGUUACUAUCACAAUGUCAUAUCGCCUGGCGGAAGAUGCAGUUACAAGUCCGUGUCAACUACGUGCUACAUUUCCCCCUCGGAGGACAAUGCAUUUUUAUCCAAACUAAACAGAAUAACGAGGCUUGAAAUGUUGAGUAAUCCGUUACUUCGCACUAAUGCAUGCCUUUCAAACUUCUUUCCAUCGGUCUCGAGGUGGAUUCACAUCCUAAUCUAGACUUUUGGUAUAAAAGUUAGAGCCUAGAUAUAAUAUAUAAGUAUGUUUGGAAGCAUAAGCCCUUUCUAUUUCAAUGAACAUUUACAACCAAAUUUGUCUUCAAAUUGCAAGGCUUUGCAAUGCUCAUUGAAAAGCUCAAUGGGCAACUGACUAUUUUCACCCACAUAAAGUUGACCAACCAUAUCACUGGAGGUCAGCUCCCAGUUCACCACUGGAGGUCAGCUCCCAGUUCACCAUAUCACUGGAGGUCAGCUCCCAGUUCACCAUAUCACUGGAGGUCAGCUCCCAGUUCACCAUAUCACUGGAGGUCAGCUCCCAGUUCACCACUGGAGGUCAGCUCCCAGUUCACCAUAUCACUGGAGGUCAGCUCCCAGUUCACCACUGGAGGUCAGCUCCCAGUUCACCAUAUGACAGGCGGUGUCUGAGAAAGGCCCCAGACAUGGAUUGUUCUCCAUGCUCCCGCCCAGCAGGCGGUGCCGGUGCAUCAAGGCUCUGACAAACAGACUCCUAAACAACUUCAAUCACCUGGCCAUAAGAUUGUUACAUGGCUAACAACUGCUCUCACUCACACCUACGCUUCUGCUAAAAUGAUUAUUGGUUAGAUUUCAUACUCUCACAAUUACAUGCACAAACUUACACUCACAUACAUACACUCAUCACCAUAUACAAACCCACCUGACUAAAAUGUAAAUGUAAAUACCGUAUACUACGUCAGCUACUGUAUAAUCAACAGCGGCUAGACUACUUUAGUCUGUGGCUCGCUAGCAUUAUGUAAGGUACUGUUUAAUCAACGAGGGGCUAUGCAUUGUCUGGAAAAUAAUGAACGAUGUGGAAGGUGUGUUCCACAACGCUCUAGUGGAGAACUGAACCUUCCAAAUCAAAUCAAAUCACAUUUUAUUUGUCAAAUGAGCAGAAUACAACAGGUGUAGACCUUACAGUGAAAUACCUACUUACAAGCCCUUAACCAACAAUGCAGUUUUAAGAAAAAUACCUAAAAACAAGAAAUAAACAAUUAAAGAGCAGCAGAAGAUAACAAUAGCGGGGUUAUAUACAGGGGGUACCGGUUAGUCGAGGUAAUUGAGGUAAUAUGUACAUGUAGGUAGAGUUAUUAAAGUGACUAUGCAUAGAUAAUAACAGAGAGUAGCAGCAGCGUAAAAGAGGGGGGGCAAUGCAAAUAGUCUGGGUAGCCAUUUGAUUAGAUGUUCAGGAGUCUUAUGGCUUAGAAGCUGUUUAGAAUCCUCUUGGUCCUAGACUUGGAGCUCCGGUACCACUUGCCGUGUGGUAGCAGAGAGAACAGUCUAUGACUAGGGUGGCUGGAGUCUGACAAUUGUAGGGCCUUCCUCUGACACCGCCUGGUAUAGAGGUCCUGGAUAGCAGGAAGCUUGGCCCCCGUGAUGUACUGGGCCGUACGCACUACCCUCUGAAGUGCCAUGCAGUCAGAGGCCGAGCAAUUGCCAUACCAGGCAGUGAUGCAACCCGUCAGGAUGCUCUCGAUGGUGCAGCUGUAGAACCUUUUGAGGAUCUGAGGAUCCAUGUCAAAUCUCCUCAGUCUCAGAUCCAAAGUUAGUUUGAUGGUGAUGUGGACACCAAGGAACUGGAAGCUCUCAACCUGCUCCACUGCAGCCACUUCAAUGAGAAUGGGGGCAUGCUCGGUCCUCUUUUUCUUGUAGUCCACAAACAUCUUCUUUGUCUUGAUCACGUUGAGGCAGGUUGUUAUCCUGGCACCACACGGCCAGGUCUCUGACCUCCUCCCUAUAGGCUGUCUCGUUGUUGUCGGUGAUCAAGCCUACCACUGUUGUGUUGUCUGCAAAUAUAAUGAUGGUGUUGGAGUCGUGCUUGGCCGUGCAGUUAUGAGUGAACAGGGAGUAC
rnacentral:lncRNA from 1 species